rfam:Oryza glumipatula chromosome 5, whole genome shotgun sequence.
GAUUUCAACUAAAAAAGUCAUCAACAACAAAGUUGUAUAACUCACCAAGAUCUAUAACUUUUAUGUUUGUCAUUUCUUCAUCUGAUAAAGUGUUAGUAAUAUUGUUCAUAAAAUUUACAUAUCUGUGUUAUAGUUUAUAAACCAGAUGAGAGAUAUGUGAAUUUUAUGAACAAUGUUAUUAUCACUUAGUCAGAUGAAGAAAUGAUCAAAAUAAAAGUUAUAGAUCUUGAUGAGUUAUACAACUUUGUUGUUGAUGACUUUUUCAGUUGAAAUC